rnacentral:rRNA from 1 species
AGAGGAUUCGAUGAGUUUGAUCGUGGCUCAGGAUGAACGCUGGCGGCGUGCUUAACACAUGCAAGUCGAACGAUGAAGCCCAGCUUGCUGGGUGGAUUAGUGGCGAACGGGUGAGUAACACGUGAGUAACCUGCCCUUAACUCUGGGAUAAGCCUGGGAAACUGGGUCUAAUACCGGAUAGGAGCGUCCACCGCAUGGUGGGUGUUGGAAAGAUUUAUCGGUUUUGGAUGGACUCGCGGCCUAUCAGCUUGUUGGUGAGGUAAUGGCUCACCAAGGCGACGACGGGUAGCCGGCCUGAGAGGGUGACCGGCCACAUUGGGACUGAGACACGGCCCAGACUCCUACGGGAGGCAGCAGUGGGGAAUAUUGCACAAUGGGCGAAAGCCUGAUGCAGCGACGCCGCGUGAGUGAGAUGACGGCCUUCGGGUUGUAAACCUCUUUCAGUAGGGAAGAAGC